GAUGAAGAACGUAGUAAAAUGCGAUAAGUAAUGUGAAUUGCAGAAUUCAGUGAAUCAUCGAAUCUUUGAACGCACAUUGCGCCCGCUGGUAUUCCGGCGGGCAUGCCUGUUCGAGCGUCAUUUCAACCCUCAAGCCCCCGGGUUUGGUGUUGGGGAUCGGCUCUGCCCUUCUGGGCGGUGCCGCCCCCGAAAUACAUUGGCGGUCUCGCUGCAGCCUCCAUUGCGUAGUAGCUAACACCUCGCAACUGGAACGCGGCGCGGCCAUGCCGUAAAACCCCAACUUCUGAAUGUUGACCUCGGAUCAGGUAGGAAUACCCGCUGAACUUAAGCAUACAAUAAGCGGAGGA
rnacentral:misc_RNA from 1 species